AUCAAAACUAAUUCAAUUGAAUUUCGAAUUCAUUUUAUUAUGCAAAAGAAAUCAUUUUGUGAAAAAGUUAAUCUUCGACAAAUUGUGAUCCACUCAUUCCUACUUUGCCUUACUCACCACUCGUUACCAUUUUCAAUUGUUUUUUUGUUUGUAUUUGUGUUACAAACGGUUGCAUCGUUAUUUUUGGGCGUUACGCGGUUGUUUAAAUUGACAAAGAUUCUUACGUUUUAUUCAAACCAUGUCUCGAAUGAGAACUAACUUAAAACAUCAUACUUUGCAAGCCUUGGCGAUUAGUUGCAUUAGUUUGUAUGUACCAAUUUUAACCAUUAUUGCGCUAUGUUUCGUGAGUAUUUUCGAACCAAAAAAGAAGAUUUUUGAACUAAAAUGCAUCUUAAUAUGUAAUUAUAAGAUUCCCGAAAGUCCAGCCUGGCUCCAAAGAAUCGAACAGCUGACGCCGAAUCUUCGCUCGCCUGGCUCCGUGGCUGGGUCCAAAAAGAAACGGUGCAUCAAGAGCUACUUGAACUACAGCGUUAUAGUGAACAAUCAAAGUCGUGUAGUGCGUGCAUCAAAUUGGAUCAAAAAUGUACACAUCAUCCGACAUUUAUGGACAAAUUGAAGGAAUUAAAGCGUAAAAAAACCCUCAAGCCAUUCUUCAUUGUGAUGUCGUUGUUUUUCAUCGCGGAAUUCACCGGUAUAACUGGUAUGUCCCCAUUCAUGCAGCAAAUCUUCAAAGUACACUUCAAUUUAAAUGAGACGAAGUUGGAAUACUAUUGGAAAUUCUAUUGCAGAUCAAGCAGCAGCUAUGCAAGGCUUUGUGAACAACCUAGCGAAUAUUGCAUUUUUGUGUUUGAUUCGAUUCACCGGCAAGCGAAAAUUAUACAUGCCAAUGUUGAUCAUUGUAUUUUUAUGUUCGGCAACCGUCUCAAUAUAUGGCUUUGUAUUUUUCCCAAG